GAUGAACGCUGGCGGCGUGCCUAAUACAUGCAAGUCGAGCGAACAGACGAGGAGCUUGCUCCUCUGACGUUAGCGGCGGACGGGUGAGUAACACGUGGAUAACCUACCUAUAAGACUGGGAUAACUUCGGGAAACCGGAGCUAAUACCGGAUAAUAUAUUGAACCGCAUGGUUCAAUAGUGAAAGACGGUUUUGCUGUCACUUAUAGCUGGAUCCGCGCCGCAUUAGCUAGUUGGUAAGGUAACGGCUUAUCACGGCAACGAUGCGUAGCCGACCUGCGAGGGUGAUCGGCCACACUGGAACUGAGACACGGUCCAGACUCCUACGGGAGGCAGCAGUAGGGAAUCUUCCGCAAUGGGCGAAAGCCUGACGGAGCAACGCCGCGUGAGUGAUGAAGGUCUUCGGAUCGGAAAACUCUGUUAUUAGGGAAGAACAAAUGUGUAAGUAACUAUGCACGUCUUGACGGUACCUAAUCAGAAAGCCACGGCUAACUACGUG
rnacentral:rRNA from 1 species